UACGUAGGGAGCAAGCGUUGUCCGGAAUCAUUGGGCGUAAAGCGCGCGUAGGUGGCUUCAUAAGUCCGUUGUGAAAGUCAAAGGCUCAACCUUUGAAAGCCGAUGGAUACUGUGGAGCUAGAGUACGGAAGAGGCGAGUGGAAUUCCUGGUGUGGCGGUGGAAUGCGCAGAUAUCAGGAGGAACACCAAUAGCGAAGGCAGCUCGCUGGGACGUUACUGACACUGAGGCGCGAAAGCGUGGGGAGCGAACAGG
rnacentral:rRNA from 1 species